AUGCACGCUGGCGGCGUGCCUAAUACCUGCAAGUCGAGCGAACAGAUGAGGAGCUUGCUCCUCUGACGUUAGCGGCGGACGGGUGAGUAACACGUGGAUAACCUACCUAUAAGACUGGGAUAACUUCGGGAAACCGGAGCUAAUAUCGGAUAAUAUAUUGAACCGCAUGGUUCAAUAGUGAAAGACGGUUUUGCUGUCACUUAUAGAUGGAUCCGCGCCGCAUUAGCUAGUUGGUAAGGUAACGGCUUACCAAGGCAACGAUGCGUAGCCGACCUGAGAGGGUGAUCGGCCACACUGGAACUGAGACACUGUCCAGACUCCUACGGGAGGCAGCAGUAGGGAAUCUUCCGCAAUGGGCGAAAGCCUGACGGAGCAACGCCGCGUGAGUGAUGAAGGUCUUCGGAUCGUAAAACUCUGUUAUUAGGGAAGAACAAAUGUGUAAGUAACUAUGCACGUCUUGACGGUACCUAAUCAGAAAGCCACGGCUAACUACGUG
rnacentral:rRNA from 1 species